AGAGUUUGAUCAUGGCUCAGGAUGAACGCUAGCGGCAGGCUUAAUACAUGCAAGUCGAGGGGCAGCACAGGUAGCAAUACUGGGUGGCGACCGGCAAACGGGUGCGGAACACGUACGCAACCUUCCUUUAAGUGGAGAAUAGCCCAGGGAAACUUGGAUUAAUACUCCGUAAGACAAUGGAGUGGCAUCACUCAGUUGUUAAAGUUACGACGCUUAAAGAUGGGCGUGCGGCUGAUUAGGUAGUUGGCGGAGUAACAGCCCACCAAGCCAACGAUCAGUAACUGGUGUGAGAGCACGACCAGUCACACGGGCACUGAGACACGGGCCCGACUCCUACGGGAGGCAGCAGUAAGGAAUAUUGGUCAAUGGACGCAAGUCUGAACCAGCCAUGCCGCGUGGAGGAUGAAGGCCCUCUGGGUUGUAAACUUCUUUUAUUUGGGAAGAAACCCAUCUUUUCUAAGGUGGUUGACGGUACCAGAUGAAUAAGCACCGGCUAACUCCGUGCCAGCAGCCGCGGUAAUACGGAGGGUGCAAGCGUUAUCCGGAUUCACUGGGUUUAAAGGGUGCGUAGGUGGGCAGGUAAGUCAGUGGUGAAAUCUCCGGGCUUAACCCGGAAACUGCCGUUGAUACUAUCUGUCUUGAAUGUAGUGGAGGUGAGCGGAAUAUGUCAUGUAGCGGUGAAAUGCUUAGAUAUGACAUAGAACACCAAUUGCGAAGGCAGCUCGCUACACUACUAUUGACACUGAGGCACGAAAGCGUGGGGAUCAAACAGGAUUAGAUACCCUAGUAGUCC
rnacentral:rRNA from 1 species